rnacentral:rRNA from 1 species
CAACUUUCAACAACGGAUCUCUUGGCUCUCGCAUCGAUGAAGAACGCAGCGAAAUGCGAUACGUAAUGUGAAUUGCAGAAUUCAGUGAAUCAUCGAAUCUUUGAACGCACCUUGCGCCCCUUGGUAUUCCGAGGGGCGCACCCGUUUG